rnacentral:antisense_RNA from 1 species
CUUAGCAUUGGGCUUGCGGGCCACGAUACCAUUGCCUACCGCAUGUAAAAGGUGUGUCUUGCCAAGGCCAGUACCGCCGUA